CAAACUACAAAGUAUCUCAUUUCUUCGGUAGCCGGGGACAUGACUUUCCGCUGUUAAAUCUACUCUUGUUCCAUUCGCUGAAUCCAAAGAUUUAUACUUGUUAGAAAUUGUAUUCUUACCUUCUUUAUAUUUUCAUUUACCCAAAAAUUGAAUAGUCGCUGCAAUAUAGCAUCUGAAACAUUGUUUCUUUUUGGUCUCCAUUAGAAUUUCUUUCAUUAUGUUUCCUUUGGUUGCAAUUCAUCUCUAUGUUUCAAUUCUGACGAAGCAAAUUUUCUCCACUUUUUCUUCUCGUUGUUUUUCAAUUUUGCAACCUCGAUUUUAGUGGAAUGAAUUCCUAGCCAUAUGCUGAAGCUUCAAUUUUGGGCUAAGGUAAUAUCUCGGAUAAUGUAUUGCUUGGAUCUAUACUGUAGUGGGAACUCUAUAUAUGUUGCUGGGAUCUAUAAUGUAGUUUUUACUACUGUUUACUUUCUAUAUCUGAGUAAUUAACGGUUGUUAUGAUAUUCUUAUUGUUUUUUUUAAA